rnacentral:tRNA from 1 species
GCCGAAAUAGCUCAGUUAGACUGAAUAUCUAAAGGUCCCUGGUUCGAUCCCGGGUUUCGGCA